rnacentral:rRNA from 1 species
UACCAGCACCCCGAGUGGUCGGGACGUUUUAUUGGGCCUAAAGCAUCCGUAGCCGGUUCUACAAGUCUUCCGUUAAAUCCAACUGCUUAACAGGUGGGCUACGGAGAUACUAUAGAGCUAGGAGGCGGGAGAGGCAAGCGGUACUCGAUGGGUAGGGGUAAAAUCCGUUGACCCAUUGAAGACCACCAGUGGCGAAGGCGGCUUGCCAGAACGCGCUCGACGGUGAGGGAUGAAAGCUGGGGGAGCAAACCGG